CUUAUUUAUUGUUUUUUCAUUAAUGUAGGACAACUUAAAAUUGUUGGAUGACAUGGCGGAAUUGAGUUCAACCAACUGUAUUCUGCAGUUAUAUAACACAGUAUAUGUGUUAUGAAUACAAGGUUGUCUGAGAGAAAGAUUGUUUAAUGUUGCAUAUAAUGUGAAGGAUUCUCAGGGGAUUGUCGUAUUCCUCUAAACUACCAUUUUACUUUUUUUGGUCAUAAUAAAUGCGGAUACCUUAUAAAGGCCAAAGCUCAAAUAUGUGGUUGUCUGAGAAAGUUACAGAAGAUGCGUAUCACAAGCCAUAUUUUGUGUGCCACACAGACAUUGCAUAUUGUCGUUGAAGGGCUAGAUGAGCUCAUGCCAUAUCUUCCGUCAACAACUGGGUGGGGUUAAAGGUUAAGUGUAUGAUUUUCUGAACUUAUUGCUCAGUUACAUAAAUCUUAUCUUCCUUUGGCACACCAACAAUCUAUGAAAAGUCCAACCACAUCAUAUUGGCAAACUAUGGUGGCUCAGUUGGAGUGGUAUGAUGGAAAUUGUGGCUUCUAGUCAUCAAUCAAAGCCAAUGCAAUAAUUUUGUUGCAUAUAUGUUGGAUGGAAUUAAGCACAAAAUCCAGCUAAAGAAUUAUUUAACAAAUAUUUGCAAAAUAAACACAAAACAACACAAGAAUGGAAUUGAAAUCCUUUUGAUUUCCUGUCAAUCAUACACAUGACAAAUAUCAAUUCCUUUGACAUAUUCCAUUCAUUACUCUGCAACAAGAAAAAGGUUUUAGUAACCAAAUAAAGAGCUUAUGUUAUGGUGGAGAAAAGGUAAAGAAGAUCCCCUGAGAAUCAAAGUCUUAACAUGUACACUUUGAGUUCCAAUAAGGGUGUUGGGUUAUUAUGCCUUUCUGUUACGAAAUUAUGAACUUUGCUUUAUCAAAUUACCGCCUUCCAUCCACUGAUUACAAAAGAUAUGAGUCUAUGACCCUGUUUGUGUAUUUCCAGAAAUACCCCUAUGUUCCUAAAACUCAUGCUUGUGUAUUAUCUAUAUUCAGGAAAUGAUGGGAUUAACAUGCUUCAUGUAGAAUCAAUAAAAAAAAGAGAUGUUGAAUAUUGCAUGGAAAAUGCCUUCAGCACUUAUUUUGUAUGCCUGCGAAAAUGGGAGAUCAGGGAAGGGAAAUGCCACAUGAUGUGGUCUUUGGUGGGCUGAAAUGUUAAAAACAAGUGGUCAAUAUAUAUUAAGAGGGUGUUGGUGUUUACCUUCAUAUCUCUGAUGAGUGGUAGAACAAGGGUACAAUGUCGAUCUUCCAAAGAGAUUGAAGACAUGAAAAUGGAAUGUUUACUUUUACAGGUUACAUUGAUUGAAUAUGACACCUUGGCAUAUUUUGAUAGUGAUUCUUUAUUGAAAUGAAGUUACAACCUUCAAGAACUCAUCAACAACUGGGGUUAAAGGUUGUAUCAUUUUCUAAGCUUAUUAUUCAGGGAAGUAACAACCAUUACCCUUUUCUUUUCGUCCAUCAAAACAAGAUGAUGUUGCUACAAUAUGGGGAUAGAAACCUGACUGCAAAUGUUGCUGGUGGAAGCCUUGAAAUUAAAGUUGUAUCCAUCAAAUGCCAAUUGUUUUCACACAUAUAUGAAAGGUCCAACCAGAUGAUACUGGUGUACUAUGGUGGCUUAGUUGGACUUUAUCAAAUUUCAUCUUCUGUCUGAAUCAAGUUCAUGAUAAUGAUUCCCUUAUUGUACUCAAUCACAUCAUGACAAAACUUUUGUUUCUUUUUGACUUAAUGGGCAAUGUAUUUUCAUUCUUGUAGAACAACUUGAAAUUGUUGGAUGAGAUGAUGGGGGAAUUGAGUGAGAUCUAUUAUGUUCCACGAUUAUGUAACAGAGUAUAUGAUAUGAUGGUGUUAUGAAUCCAGAUGACUAGUCAUAUGGUGGUAGAUUGUUUAAUGUUGCAUUUAAUGCGAGGAGGCAAGCAUUACUUAAAGAAAAAUAGACAAGUGGCUUUGGUCAUUUCUGUUAUGCUUUGCCCUGUUUCAAAGACUCUACAAGUUCAAAUUGUGAAUGUUGUAUGCAUCAGAUGUUUGACAACCAAAUGUUGAGGUGACAAAGGAGCAGUUAGAACAAUGUUAUUACUGAUGCAUAGAAACUAUAACCAUCUCUUAUCAACCUGAUUUUGUAUCAACAUGCAUGGUUCCAGUUUUUCAAUAAAGAAGUUGAACUUGUAUGCAGCAUAUGUGUACAUAUGUGUAUGUGUAUCCUUUUCAGACCAUGAAGCCUUUGAUCAUCCUGUUAGUUACAUAUCCUAGGUAUCAACAUGUUUCUGGAUCUUUUUUUUUUGGUCCACAAUAACCCAGAUGGAUCAUCAGAGAGGUUUUUUCACUCCUUAAUUAUCAAUUUUGUUAUGAUGUAAAAAGUAUUGAAUAUAAAUAUUUAAAUUUCAUAAUUGCACGCGAUAUAGAUUUAUUGUACAUAACCAACUACUUUAGAAUGUGGUAUAUUUUAUAAUUAGCGAGAGCGAGACACCUAAAAGUUUUAUAUUGAAUAUCAAGUAUUUGUUCCAUGGUAGUGUUUUUUUUUAUCAACUCUGGAUUUCAUAUUCAUAUACACAUUCUUAAUGUAAAUACACCCUCUUCUUUUGCUCUACAUUUCACACCAUAGUUACUUAUUUUGUUGCUAUGUUAGUGGUAGAACACGCAUACAAUGUCGAUCUUCCAAAGAAAUUGAAGACAUGAAAGUGGAGUGUUUACUUUUACAGAUUUUCCUUUGAAGCUAGUCACUAGAUUUCCUCAUCAUCCUCACAUUGGUUGGCACCUUAUUGUGCAAGUAUCUACUAUCUACAUGUCUAAGUUCCACUAUAUUAGUUAGGCUUUCUUCACUAAAACUGAAUAUAAAACAUUGACAUAAAUCGUCUUUCUUUAUGCUGCAAAUGUAGUAAACUGAAGUUAAUGCCCAAUCUUAAUCUUGUAGGUCCGGAUGAUGACUCUUCUGCACAAAGCCAUAUUUAGUGUGCUAGAGACAUUCCUUAUUGUAAGUUUCCACCUAUUUUCUAAACGCUUAAAUUUGUGAUAUUAGUUGCUAAUCAAUCACUUUGACAUUUCAAUUGCUGAUGAGCUUUUUGUCAGAGAUUCCUUAUGUGGGUUUGAUGAUGGUAUGAUGGUUAAUCAUUUCUUAUCAAUUGCAUCUCUUCCAUCAGAAACCAGGGUUAAAGGUUGUAUCAUUUUAUUAAACAUCUAUCUCCAAUAACAUGAGUUUCUUUGAUUUGAGUUUUUAAUCUUUCAUGAUUUCUACUGAUUUUUUUCGAAAAAGUUUAUCUAUUUAAGCAGUGAAAUCGCUUUGUAUUUGUAUGGUUGUUAUUAGGGUCAUCUAAUCUGCGACACUUAUCAACACAUAGAUUCUUCCCCAUGUUAUAUGAAUUUCUGAAGAUUGUAAGCUGCCAAACAAAUCUUAAUUUAUGUAUUUCAAUUACUAAUAUGUGGUUAUUUGAUAGGAUAAAUGGAGCAGUCAAGAAGAGCAUAUAGAAAUCUAGAAAUAAAAAAAAAUAAAAAAAAAUAAAAAAAAACUAAAUUACCAUAUAUGAUGCAAAGGUAAGAACCAAAUUCUACUUCGCUGAUUACUUAAUAUACAUCUAAGAUGUCUAAUAGCGUACUAAUAAAAAAAUACUUUUUAUUUAAUGGUAAAUGCAAUCAAUAUUCUAACACAAGACCUUUUGCCUUCAAAAUAUUAAGUUUGUUUGAUUCCGGUUGCCAAUUAUAGUUCAAUAUUUUUGACAACUAUUUUUCCUUUAAGUUAAUUGUACUUUCUACUGUUUUCCUAUUAAGACAUUGUGCAUUUAAUUAUUUUCCUACCAAGACAUUGCAUUUUAAAAAUGUAACCUAGUUAGAUUUGUAUUUUGAAAAUCUGAACUUGUUUCAUUUUGGUUAACAUUUAUAGCAUUUUAUAUUCAAAAUAUUUGAAGUUGAUUGUUUAUGUUCUAUUAGAUUGUUUAUUAUAGUAGUAAAAUAUACUUCUCUGAAUUUUUGCUACUUAUUUCAUGGUUUCAUAACAUGUUUGGUAGUCACCUAGAUGUUAGGGAAAUAAAAAUAUGUUGCUAUUACAGGUAAAAGUAUAUAAGUAUGCUGCUAUUUUGUUUUAGUUUUUUGGAUUGGUUUAGAUGAAGGGGAUUGAGUAGAUGAAGAUAAGGACAAAAAAGUCAGAAGAAAUACAACAUAUCGAGCAUCCUAUCAACUCAUCAAAAUUGACUCUUUGUUUUCUUUCAUGCUUGUUUCUUGCUCACCCUGAACUUGAUGAGUUGAUCAACAAACAAAAAAAGUAUAAGAUGUUUAAUACAACACUUUUCAUGAAAGUUACAAUAUUUCCCUUUUCGGAAAAGUUUAAAAUUUAAAAGUACCUAUUUCUCCAUUGAUUUUUAGCCUACACAACACUUCCAUGAGUUUUUGCAUAUUUCACUGCUUCUCAAAAGUUGUUAACAUCUUGAAUUAUGGUACAAAACUUGUUUGCUUUUACGAUUGAUCUGCAUGGAAAGUUAUGUUUAUAUGUACAUUCAUGGGUUAGUUUUGUUAGUGUAUGUAGUGGGAGUGAUCUUGCAGAUUCCAUACGAUGAACUUGGAACAAGAAGACUAGAGAAAAAUAGUUGUUUGUUGAGAAUGUUAAUCAUUAUUGAUGGUAAACAAAUAUGUAAGUAGUUUGCUAUUUAUUGCAACAUACAAAGGAUUCAAGGAUUGUUUAUGAAGAGAUGGCUAAGAUGAUAGUUUAUGAAAUUGAAUCUUUAUCAGAGAAACUUGAGGUUUUCACAUUGUAGGUCAAAAU